rnacentral:rRNA from 1 species
CUUCCUACGGGGGGCAGCAGUGGGGAAUUUUGGACAAUGGGCGCAAGCCUGAUCCAGCUAUUCCGCGUGUGGGAUGACGGCCCUCGGGUUGUAAACCACUUUAGUAGAGAACGAAAAGGAGCUAUCGAAUAAAUAGCUCUGCUGACGGUACUCUAAGAAUAAGCACCGGCUAACUCCGUGCCAGCAGCCGCGGUAAUACGGAGGAUGCGAGCGUUAUCCGGAUUUAUUGGGUUUAAAGGGUGCGUAGGCGGACUGGAAAGUCAGCGGUAAAAUCGAGAGGCUCAACCUCUUUCCGCCGUUGAAAC